GAAACUAUACAGCUUUAUGUUACCUGCGAGGGAAGGUUUUCGCCAAUCGUAAACUAAAGAUCGGUGGGACUUUCGUUCGUCUGUGCUAGGCUACGAAACGU
rnacentral:pre_miRNA from 1 species